UAUAUACUAGCCCUCGAGGGCUCGUUCGGCUGGGCUCAAGAGCUUUGGGGUCUUCCCUCUCAAUUAUUCACUGUGAAUUUCAACCCACUUGUUUUUUUUUUCUUUUUAUAUCUUCUUUUUCUCUCCGGGAUUCGGAAGAGAAGCGGCGAUCGACUGGUUUCGGGGGAUGGCGACGGUGAUGGCAAGGGCCGCUACCUCGGCGGCGGCGGUGCCGGAGCUGUACUCGAGGGACGCGAUGAUCGCGUGGCUUCGGAGCGAGUUCGCAGCCGCGAACGCGAUCAUCGACGCGCUUUGUAGUCACCUGGUGCAGAUCAGAGGGGCGGCGGAGUACGAGUCGGUGUUGGCCGCCGUACACUGGCGCCGGCUCAACUGGAUCCCGGUACUCAAUAUGCAGAAGUUUUACUCCAUUGACGACGUCUCCGCCGAGCUUCAUUCGGUGGCGGCCAAGUUUCCGGCGGUGGUGCCGGAAGAGGAGAAGCCUAAGGAGAUCUACAUCCUUCCCUCGGAGGAGGAAAAGCCCGCGGAGACCGACAUCCCUCCCACGAAGGAGGAAAUUGCCGCGGAUGAGGAAACGGUGGCAGAGGGCGUUGAGAUCGUCACGACAGAGGAAGCGGCGGCGGAGGAAGAAACUUGGGCUGAGGCCAUCUACCACGGUAACAUCAAGGUUGCGCGGAUCGAGGAGGAAGCGGCGGCUGAGACUGAGGUUUCUUCUAGAGGGGGCGCUUGGGAUUUCCAGGGUGCUGCAGAUGGUUACGCUAGCAAAGGAUCGCAAGAGGAACAAGGUUUGGUGGAGGAGGUCAAAGUUUGUGCUGACCUAGGAGUUUGCUUGGUGCGGCCUGAGAGGAUCAAGAUCUCAAAGGGUUUUGUGGCGAAGGAAUCCGUGAAAGGGCAUAUGGUCAAUGUUGUGAAAGGUCUCAAGUUGUAUGAGAAUAUUUUCGCAGAGUCAGAGCUACCGACCCUUGUUGAAUACAUCAAUGAGCUUCGUCUGGCAGGACGCAGAGGAGAACUCCCUGGAGAAACAUUUAUUUUCUUCAACAAACAAAUGAAGGGAAACAAGAGGGAGAUCAUUCAACUUGGUGUUCCAUUAUUCCAAUCAGCUACUGGAGAGGCAGAAAGUAUUAUAGAACCAAUUCCUCCUGCUUUGCUAACCGUUAUUGAUCACUUGGUUCAAUGGCGCUUAGUACCAGAAAGUAAGAAACCCAACAGCUGCAUUAUCAAUUUCUUUGAUGAGGAUGAGCACUCACAGCCCUACUUCAAACCUCCACAUCUGGAAAAUCCUAUUUCAACGCUUCUCCUCUCCGGAACUACAAUGGCAUUUGGACGGUCUCUGAUUAGCGAUUACGAGGGAAACUAUAAGGGAUCCCUAACACUUCCAAUUAAGGAAGGGUCACUCCUAGUUAUGCGUGGGAAUAGUGCUGACAUGGCAAGGCAUGUUGUGUGUGCAUCACCAAAUAAAAGAAUUAGCAUAACAUUUGUGAAAGUUAGAACUGCCACUCAGCAUUCAGAAUCACCUAUUGCAAUCCAGUCCAACAAAGCAAUGACCUUGUGGCAACCUGGACACUCAACUUCCCUGCAAAAGAUGACAACAGGUGGUGGAAUCAUCGCCUACCGGCCCAAUGUCAUGAUCCCGGCUACAUGGGGUUUGGCUCUCCGCACCCCCAUCGUCAUGUUGGCGCCACCUGGAGCAGUUGUUGUGAACCCCGAUGAGAAGAUUGCACGCAACGGAACUGGUGUCUUCUUGCCAUGGAUGAUUCGCCCGAAGAAGUACACCAAGCAUCUCCCUCCACGCAUUCAGAAGAGGAGGCUUCUAUCCUUGCCAUCGACUCUAGAAGAACAAGCAUAGAUUCUUCUAGCUGACUCAAAAUUGCGAUUAACUUGGUCAUCAUGUCGUGAAUUAUAGAGAUGACAAUUGCAACUUCUCCGUGCAUUUUGUUUUUCAGUCAUGUCCUGUAAGGAAGUGGGCGUAGUUAUGGUCGUAUCUAGGAAUAGCAAGCUUUCAUGGGAAUGUCAGGGUUUUGUAAUAUGCAUCUUCAAGGGUAAGGAAUGCUCCACAAGGACUAGCAAGUCGAAUUCAACAGCGAAAGAUUGCUGCGUUUGUAGAAUAAUCUCAGAAUCCAGAAGGAGGCUGCCUGAAUCUUCGACAGUGACAGAUGUGCUGAUUGGCAGUCGAUGUUAAAAUCCACAAGUUAGUUUUAAUGAACGUUGAACCUUUGUUUUUAACUUUGGCAGUGACAGAUGUGCUGAUUGGCCUCGAUGUUAAAAUCGACAAGUUAGUUUUAAUGAAGGUUGAACCUUUGUUUUUAA